rnacentral:lncRNA from 1 species
AUAUUAGAAUAAUAUCAUCACCGUUAUAAAAUAACUUAAACACAUAAUCCUAUCAGUCUAUACAGCAUAUAAAACCUAUAAUAGAUCUUUCGGUUAGUCAUAACAUAUAGUUAAGUAUUAGACAUUAGUUUUAAGUCUUAAUAUUAUUAUUAUACUUUGAUAUUCUUUUAAUCACAUCAUAACUUAUACUUAUAAGUUAUUCAUUUUUAUAUGUUAUCCUAGUAAAUUAGAUAACAUCUUAGUAAACCGAAAUACCAUUUCAGUAAGACGGAUUUUAUUUCAGUAUCCCGAAAUCACUAUUCUUUUUCACGAAAAAUACCAAAUCAACUUAUUAUUUUUUUAUCCUUUGGUCAAACAUAUAUACAUGUAUUUCAUACAUAAAAAAUAUUUUUCCGUAAUUUUUCAAUUUCUUUUACUAUUUUUCAAAAAUCAUAAUUAGUGCGUGACUUAAGAAAAUUAGCUACCUCGUGCUUAACUCCAGAGAUGCCCAUCUUUUGACAUAACCUUAUAUAUGUUAACGUGAUGCUCCAUUUUAAAUUUCGUGGCAAUCGGAGUUGUAGAACUCCGGUUAUAGCGAUUUCCGUCGGAAAAUCACAAAAAUUGAAAUGGUCAUAACUUGGUCGUUUUAAGCCGGAAUUAGCUCAUUUUUGGACACGAGCUACAUAUUACCAUAUAUUUUCAUUUCCCAAAAGCCUGUAAUUUUUCUCAUUAACUAAAUGUCCAAAACAGCCCUCGGAAAAUUUUGGCCAGAAACUUUUUGCACUUUGGCAGUUUUGGAGUCCUUCACCAAAACUUAAAUAAAACGAAAUCUGUAACUCCGAUUAAUGAUCCGUCAAUUUUGUUGGAUUCGUAUCUUUCCGAACUACAGUUUUCAUAUAUCACAAUCCAUAUUUGGAUAUGUUUAGCUCCCGGAAUUUAGCCCGGAAGUGACUGUUCCAAAACUGUCCUUUUCACAGUUUUCUUAACUUUGUGUAGUUUGGGAGAAAUCCCAUAACUCCCUCCUCCGAUGUCGGAUUUAGUCCGUUUUGGAGUCUAUGGAAAGCUUAUUGAGUGUACUAUAACAUAUCACAAGUCCAGAAUUUUUAGAGCACUCUAACAAAUCCGAAAUUUUCUGUUUUAGGGCAGCAGUCCACUAACUCAUUUAAAACAAAAAAAACUGUUUUGGUUAUUCUUCUUUGUUCAAGCCUAUCAACCCUAAAAAUGGCAAGAUCUAACCAUAAAAUAUCAUUUAUCAUGUAGAUCUAUAGUUCUCAUGUUCAAGAUCUUAAACUUAUGGUUCAAAAUCAUAAGUUCAACACUUGAUCUAAAACACCAUAUCAAAACACUUUAACUAACAAGAGUUUUGAGUUUAGGAAAUUUUUACCUUUAGCUUCAUGACAUAUCUUUUUCUUCCAACUAUGUGAUGGAUCUUGGAUGGAAUGAAAAAUCAAAAUCUCUUCUCCUUCUUUCUUGGAGUUUCCUAACUCCCCUCUCCCUCUCUCUCUUGUCUCUCUCUUUCUUUCUUAGUUAUGUUGGAAAAUAAGAUGAGAAAAGUGAAGAAUAUGAUUUUUGUUUAGUGUAAUAAUGUAAGAAAUGUAUCUAGACAUUAGUUUGCUUGAUAAUUGAGGUGUAAUAGCAUAGUAACAUGAGUGACUUCUAGAAGCAAUUGAUUAGCUAGCAUAAUUGAAGAUUCUUAUCAACAAUGUUACUAAUAAUACACUAAUAAAACAAAAGGGUAUACUAGUAAUUUCCACAUUAAUAAAUGAUUUCUUUUUAAUUCUUAUUUAUUAUACCAAAUGUCCAAUAUGUCCCUCCUUAUUUGGGCUUAAAUUUGGGUCACCAUUUCCAUCUUUUGGGCUAUCAAUAAAUAAUAUAUUGGACUUAAAAUUUAAUUCUUUGGGCCAUGUAAAUUAACAUAGUCCAACACUCUUAAUUCUUAUCCAACCCAAAUCAUUUAAUUAGGGUUUUCAUUUUCCUCAAUUAUAACUUAAAUCCUUACUCAUGCACAUUUAUUUCCUUAACCCAAUUAGACUUGCUAAAAUUAGGUUAUAAAAUUAAUUAACUGAGAUGUAUAAAAUAAAUCUCUCAUAAUUGGUAUAUAUUCUAAAUACCAUAAUUUUCUCAUCUCAUAACCCUUAAGUUAUUAAAUUCUUCAUUCCUAAUAUAUAAUUAGGAUCACAUUAGUUUCUUUUAUUUGUUUAUAUAAUAAACAAUAUAAACCAUCACAUAAUCUUCAUAUUCCUUUACUCACCUAUUCGAACAAAAUAAUUUAAUAAAUUGUGACAUGUUCCACAAUUCUCUUAAAUUAGGUCACUAAUAUAAAAAUAAAAUAUUAGGACCACUAAAUAACGAUAACCAUUUAGGUUAUUUAAUUAUCACACCUAAUAUAUAUAUUAGGUUACAUAAUUUAAUUCUUACUUCACUUUUAUAUACAAAAUAAAUGUAUUCACAUUAUAUAAUGUAUAUUUAUUUAAUCAUACACAUAAUUCAUAUUCAUUACACACAUAACUUUUAAUCCCUUAGGGUUUUAUACAAAACAUUAGGAUUUCUAAUUUAACAAUUAGGGUUAUCCCUAAUAUAUAAUCACAAAUACUUAAGCCAUUAUAUUUAGCCUUUGACUUCCCAAAUUAGGGUUUCAAAUACUGAAUUAGGAUUUCGGAUUCCCGGUACUGAAAUUAGGGUUUCCAGAACCGAUUUCUAGGGUUUCUUAUAAAUCGUAAUAAUUUUAUAACUGAACGUUGACGUUCUAAUAAUAUUAGGGUUUGACACAGAUAUAAUUUAUCUGGUCAACACUUGACCCUUAACCACAUUCUGUACACAUAAUACCGUAAUCACAGAAUAUAUACACACAUACCCUUAAUCCUGAAUAAUUCACUAAAAGAAAUUUUAAAUCCUCAAAAUUCCUUUCUGAAAACAUCAAACACAUACACUUAUUCUCUGUCUAGGUCUAUUAUUUGACCUUAAACCAAUCAUUUAAGAUUUUAAUAAUUUUCUAAUUUCUCGGGUUGUCACAUUCACCCCUUCUUCUAAGAAUUUCGUCCUCGAAAUUAAAGCAUCCUAACCUCUGCUCAUUCUCUUGAUCAAAACUAGGUUUUCAAUUUAACCUUUACAAUUUCCUCAUUCGAGGAUUUCUCAUCUAUUAUCACAUUUCACCAUAACUACUCACUAGGAGUUUACAUCUUCUAAACAUUCAUCAAAACUAGGUUGUCAUAAUAACCUUUAUUUAAUCAUCUCAGAUUCUACUCGUACGCAACGAGUUUACACUAUUUCAUAUCCAUCAUCACAUUCUACCACAACAUUACUUUGAAGAGUUAAAAAAAACUUUUCAUAUCUGUCUGAGGGAUCAUAAAAAUUAUGAACUUUGAACUCCGAGGUUUAGGGGUAUUUCUACCUGCUACCUCUUUCAAUUAAGAAAGAAAGGUACUCUACCUCUUAAACAUUUCUUUAAUAGGUAUGUUUACAAUCACGAAGAAGGUAAACUACCGAUUCUGGUACUUUAGAUGAUCAGUCUAUUGUACCUUAGUAAUCCGAACGACUAUAUGCGUCCUUAAAUUGGAAUAUUCUAUCCAAUUAGUAUAUCCCCAUUUUCAGGGUUGUUCACCUCAGACUUAGUAUAGGAUUCCGCACCAAAACAAUUUGGUUCGGGAAAUUUCUUUCAAUGAACACUUAGAGUUUUCAUAAACAUUAGUCUAGCUGAAUCGAAUAGCAUAGACUCAUAUCGAUAAUUCAGUUCAAUAGAAUUAUUUAAGUAUAGCCAAACCCCGUUGGCAAAUUAAAAUUUUGAAAACAUUUUUCGAGAAUGACGUCAUGAUGCCGCACUGUAUUUACAGUCCGUUGAGGAUUCCGUCAUUUGGUGAUUUUAUCAUACUACAUCAUACCAUAGUGGGUUGACGAUCCUGAGAUCACAUCCAACACUAAGUAAUACUGCAUUGAUGACUCCAUCAUUUUUUUAUCAUCUCUGCACCAGGUUGCAUGGUACAUAAGUGAUAAAUAAAAACAACUUUUGAUACUUCAAAUCAUUCGCGUCUAGCCGAAAUAAGUAGCAUAGACUGUACUUUAAACCGUUUCAAAAAUGUUUGCAAUUCAGUUUUAUCAUCUCAACAAGUAACGAGGUGUCGAUGGCCCAAAGUCCACACAUACACAAUAAUCAUCAGGAGUUGAGAAUAAAAAUUCAUUUUUUCAAAAGCACAUAGUGCGUAUUUAGCUUGAUGUCAAAAAUUCGAAGUCUAGCAUAGCUAGAAGAUUUGGAAUACCUAUGCUUCCAUCAUCAACUUCACUUUUUCUACUGAUCCAUUACUUAAUAGAUCUAUCUAUUCUUAUAAUCCUCAAUACUUCUUUCACACAUAACUAUACCCAGUUCGUCAAACUUACCACACUUAUGAGUUCAGGAACUUACCACAAUCAUAUGAGUUUAAGAACUUUCCUAGACAGACCUUUGGCGUCCAUUCGCUGAGGGGUCCAUAAACAUUUCAUAUAAUCAUGAGUCACGAACGUACCAUAAGUAUGAGUUUUAAGAACUCGUACUUAACCUUAUAUCCUCUAUCUAUGACCUAUCUACCUGUUAUACACAUGAGAAAGGAAUCACCCUCUGAACAUGCAUAUAACAAAUAGCGCGACAUAAACAUUUCAAUGAUUAUCAGUGCCAGAAACUAAGUGGUUUUUACACCAAGUACAAUUCAGCUCCCAUACGAAGAAUCAUACAACUCAGCUGCCGACAUGAGUCCUCAAUUGAAUCCCCACCUAACACUAACCCCUUCUCCAUACGAAUUUAAUUCGUAUUUAUAAUUCUCUUCUGGAUCUGUACCAAUUUAUAGUACAAUUCAUACACAGCAAUCUUGCUGUAAACUUUUCAUCAUUCUCUGGAUCUUUCUUCAUACCAUAACCUUAUCAGAUCACGGAGUGAUCUCAUCGUAUAUAUUACGAUUCAUUGCUAUUCUGUGAUCGUUUUGUUUUACGAUCUCCCAUCCUUACACUUGUAAUCUCUUAGACUCUAUCUAUCCACUUCCUAUACUUGGUACACAUCGAGUCUCUAACAGUUUUCAAUAUGGUACGCUGAGUGGUUUCCCACAAACAACCAACAAACUAGGUUCCGAGUUGCUAGUUCGUAUAUACCUCCGCUCUAUGAAGGAAUCGUUUAGCCCAGAUACCAUACAUCAACUAGUUUCGAGUACAAUGGUACCAUACUUAAACCUAACUUUCUGACCCUGCGAGAUUCUUCAACUAACUCUAUGUGAGUUAGUACUUAUCCUAAUCACUGCGGUUAUUGGUCUAAGGUAUUGCUACCUAAGCUUCAUAACCAACAGCUUUGAUACCAACUGUAGCGUCCCCCAAAUCCGGGUCCCGAAUCGCCGCGGAUCCGGUUUGCUAUUUCUACAACUGUUGCGGAAGAUAUAAACAUAAAUUGUUUAUACAUUAAACUUUACACACUAUUCCCAAAAUCGAGUAACCUUAACUAAUACACAAUCGUGAACUGUCUAACACAUGACAAUACUAUUCUUCAACAUACUUUACAACUUAACUUCACAUUCUAUCCCAAGCUGAACUUGGCAUUAUCCUUUUCCUGUAUCUGGCCGUAUUCGCCUUAUCUGCAAUGUUUUAUCAUGAUAUAGCAAGGGUGAGCAUGAAAGUUGCCCAGCAAGUUUAAAAAAAACAAGGUAAAGAUAUAUCAUGAUUGAAAGAGUUUGAAUAAUAAGCUGGCUAUCCUUCACAAUGUAGUUGUGAAUUAGCAUGAACAAAAUUUCAAAGCUGAAUGAACAUUGAAAAUGAACAUAACAAUUAUAUCUGAACUGACUGGUAAUGAAGGUGAUCAGCCUUUCAUACCUGAUGAAUACAUGCAAUAUGUACAGAGUACAAUUCAUAAGCAUAUCUGUCUGAAACCACUCUUAAAAGAGUUUAAGUAAAAAGAACUUGAAAAACUUGCCUGAACCGUUGAUUACCGUAACGCAAUAUAAUACGCUUCUCCUGAAGACCUAAUAUUAAUAAUAUAGAUCUCCAAUAUUAGAAUAAUAUCAUCAUUGUUAUAAAAUAACUUAAACAUAUUUCCACAUACUCCUAUCAGUCUAUACAGCAUAUAAAACCUAUAAUAGAUCUUUCGGUUAGUCAUAACAUAUAGUUAAGUAUUAGACAUUAGUUUUAAGUCUUAAUAUUAUUAUUAUACUUUGAUAUUCUUUUAAUCACAUCAUAACUUAUACUUAUAAGUUAUUCAUUUUUAUAUGUUAUCCUAGUAAAUUAGAUAACAUCUUAGUAAACCGAAAUACCAUUUCAGUAAGACGGAUUUUAUUUCAGUAUCCCGAAAUCACUAUUCUUUUUCACGAAAAAUACCAAAUCAACUUAUUAUUUUUUUAUCCUUUGGUCAAACAUAUAUACAUGUAUUUCAUACAUAAAAAAUAUUUUUCCAUAAUUUUUCAAUUUCUUUUACUAUUUUUCAAAAAUCAUAAAUAGUGCGUGACUUAAGAAAAUUAGCUACCUCGUGCUUAACUCCAGAGAUGCCCAUCUUUUGACAUAACCUUAUAUAUGUUAACGUGAUGCUCCAUUUUAAAUUUCGUGGCAAUCGGAGUUGUAGAACUCUGGUUAUAGCGAUUUCCGUCGGAAAAUCACAAAAAUUAGAAUAGUCAUAACUUGGCCGUUUUAACUCGGAAUUAGCUCAUUUUUGGACACGAGCUACAUAAUACCACAUAUUUUCAUUUCCCGAAAGCCCGGAAUUUUUCUCACAAAAUAAAUUACCGAAACAGCCUCCGGAAAAUUUUUGGCAGUUUACUUUUGCACAUAUGCAGUUUUGGAGUCCUUUACCAAAACUUAAAUAAAAUGAAAUCUAUAACUCCGAUUAAUGAUCCGUCAAUUUUGUUGGAUUCCUAUCUUUCCGAACUACAGUUUUCAUCUAUCACAAUCCAUAUUUGGACAUGUUAAGCUCCCAGAAAUUAGCCCGGAAGUGGCUGUUCAAAACUGUCCUUCUAACAGUUUUCUUAACUUUGAGUAGUUUGGGAGAAAUUUCAUAACUCUCUCCUCCGAUGUCGGAUUUAGUCCGUUUCGGAGUCUAUGGAAAGCUUAUUGAGUGUACUACAACAUAUCAAAAGUCCAGAAUUUUUAGACCAUCCAAACAAAUUCGGAAUUUACUGUUUAGGGGCAGCAGUUACCAAUUCAUUUUAAAAAAAACUGUUUUGCUUUUCUUUCUCUUGAUCAAGCUUGUCGACCCUAAAAAUGGCAUGAUCUAACCAUAAAACAUCAUAUAUCAUGUAGAUCUAUAGUUCUCAUGUUCAGGAUCAUAAACUUCAUGGUUCAAAAUAACCAAAAAUCAAAUACAAGAUUAAACACAUUCAAGAGUAAGAAAAAUAAGAUUUCCUACACCUUAAAAACCUAGCUUCACUUUUCUUGCUUUUGAUCUAUCUUUUGAAACAUAAAAUAGAUAGAUCCACACAUAAAACACUCUAAAUCAUGUAGAUCUAGAGUUUUGAAGAUCAAAACUCAUUAUUUUGACAAAAAUCAAACACAUAAACUAAUUAGAGUUUUGUGUUUAAGAAUUCUUAUACCUUGCUUUGAUUUUCUUUCUUCUUCAAAGAUAUGAGAUGGAUCUUGGGGUGUUGUUCUUGGCUUGCUACAUGAUAAUCCUA